rnacentral:rRNA from 1 species
UAGUUAUGUUCUUGAAACUUAAAAAAUUUGGCGGUAUUUUAGUCUAUUCAGAGGAACUUGUUCUAUAAUCGAUAAUCCACGAUGGACCUUACUUAAAUUUGUUAUCUGUUUAUAUACCGUCGUUAUUAGAAUAUUUUAUAAGAAAAAUAAUUUUCAAAAUUUUUUAUAAGAAAAUAUAUCAGAUCAAGGUGUAGCUUAUAUUUAAGUAGAAAUGAGUUACAAUAAAAUUAUUUAUACGAAUAUAAAUUUGAAAUAUUUAUUAAAGGUGGAUUUGAUAGUAAAAUUAUAAAGAUUAUUAAUUUGAUUUUAGCUCUAAAAUAUGUACACAUCGCCCGUCACUCUUAUUAUUAAGGUAAGAUAAGUCGUAACAUAGUAGAUGUACUGGAAAGUGUAUCUAGAAUGCAAUUUAAAGCUUAUUUAGUAAAGUAUUUCAUUUACAUUGAAAAGAUUUUUGUGCAAAUCAAUAUAAAUUGAAUAGAUUUUAUUUAUUAUUUAUGAAUUUUUAUUUAUUUAAUAUAUUAAAAAUAAUUAUAAAAAUUAUUGUUUUAGUAUUUAAUUGAGAAAAAAUAAUUUUAAUUAUAGUUUAAUAGUAUUGUAAAAGAAAAUUGAAAUAUUU